rnacentral:rRNA from 1 species
UACAUGGGGUGCAAACGUUGCUCGGAAUUAUUGGGCGUAAAGAGCUCGUAGGCGGUGUGUCGCGUCGGCCGUGAAAACCUGGGGCUCAACUCUGGGCGUGCGGUCGAUACGGGCAUCACUUGAGUUCGGCAGGGGAGACUGGAAUUCCUGGUGUAGCGGUGAAAUGCGCAGAUAUCAGGAGGAACACCGGUGGCGAAGGCGGGUCUCUGGGCCGAUACUGACGCUGAGGAGCGAAAGCAUGGGUAGCGAACAGG